rfam:Aedes aegypti strain Liverpool supercont1.401 genomic scaffold, whole genome shotgun sequence.
GGCUCGGUAGCUUAGUUGGUAAAGCGCUCGUUAAGCAUACAAGAGUCCUGGGUUCAAAUCCCAGCCGCCC